rnacentral:misc_RNA from 1 species
AAAGUCGUAACAAGGUCUCCGUUGGUGAACCAGCGGAGGGAUCAUUACCGAGUUUUCAACUCCCAAACCCACUGUGAACUUAUACCUUUACUGUUGCUUCGGCGGGUCUCGGCCCCGGCGCUGCCCCUCCUCUUACCGGGAGGGGUGAGCCGGACAACACGGCCCCCGCCGGAGGACCCAAACUCUUGAAUUUUCGCGACUGGCUCGCGGCAGUUUGUAUUCUGAUUAAUUCAAAACAAAAUGAAUCAAAACUUUCAACAACGGAUCUCUUGGUUCUG